rnacentral:lncRNA from 1 species
AUGGUAAAUAAUAUGUACAUCGAGGGAAAUGUAGCCAGAGCUUCUAUGUCAGAUUGGCUUGUUCCCUUUUCUGUCCUUUCCUUUAUAGACUCUGAGCCCCUUCAGGUAUUACUUUCUGUACCCACAACUCUAAUAUCUAUAUUGAUCCUGAUAUAUGUCAUGCUGACCUUAAUGGGUAAUAAUUACACCUUCUGUCCAGACAGAAACUGUAAACAAAAUGUCAGUGUCAUGAUCUCACAUGCUUGUAGAAUAAUUAACAAUUAUACUUUGUGCCUGAUGGAAACCCUCCUCUGGAACUACUGCAUGAGAGCAGAACACUUGAAUGCUAGACCAGAUUUCCUGAGACCAGCCACUGGACAUCUUCCUAAAGAAGCAAUGGAACAAAUCCUUCCAGUAAACUGGCCAAGUUCACCACCUUUUUCUGCCCUGAAAAUCUUUCAUGUGCAGUGAGAGAGUACUUCAAAGUCAUGGAAAAUUGUAUCUGAAAGGGCCUUGUAUUUGGGGAAAGUUAAUCCUAUUGUGACUCCUUGGUGUGGCUGUUUUAGCAGGACAUGGAGCUGACACAACGGAGGAGGGAGCUCUGUGAGCCCGUCUAGGUGAGUGUGUGUCUCAUGUGGAAUGGGAGCUGGGCUCAGAGCAGGGGUUCCCAGGCUCACUGAGUAGACACAAGGGAACUCUUGGCUAUGGGAAGACCUCAAUUGAUAAUUUUCAAAUGACUACCGGAUUUUCCAUCAAAACUGACAAAUAUUUGAUGUCUUGGGGAAGGAUUGAGGGUGGGACAGAAAUUCUUGGUCAGAGAUGGCACUAGAAGCUGCCUGAUCUGGAACAGUUCCAUCCAAAAAUACAGGUGCUAUAUUCUCAACCAGAAAAUAGAUUUUGAAUUCCCACUCUACUGCUAAUGUCUGUUUGAGUGACUAUUCCUCAUGUUAUUUUUCUU